GGGCCCGCACAAGCGGUGGAGUAUGUGGUUUAAUUCGAUGCAACGCGAAGAACCUUACCAGGGUUUGACAUCCUGCGAAUCUCUUGGAAACGAGAGAGUGCCUUCGGGAGCGCAGUGACAGGUGGUGCAUGGCUGUCGUCAGCUCGUGUCGUGAGAUGUUGGGUUAAGUCCCGCAACGAGCGCAACCCACGUCUUUAGUUGCCAGCAUUUAGUUGGGCACUCUAGAGAGACCGCCGGUGAUAAACCGGAGGAAGGUGUGGAUGACGUCAAGUCAUCAUGCCCCUUACAUCCUGGGCUACACACGUACUACAAUGGUUAAGACAAAGAGUUGCGAGCUCGCAAGGGUCAGCU
rnacentral:rRNA from 1 species